rnacentral:rRNA from 1 species
ACGAAGGGGGCGAGCGUUGUUCGGAAUUACUGGGCGUAAAGGGCGCGUAGGCGGCCCGUUUAGUCAGAUGUGAAAGCCCCGGGCUCAACCUGGGAAUUGCAGUGGAUACUGGAUCACUAGAGUGUGGUAGAGGGAUGCGGAAUUUCUGGUGUAGCAGUGAAAUGCGUAGAGAUCAGAAGGAACAUCCGUGGCGAAGGCGGCAUCCUGGGCCAACACUGACACUGAGGCACGAAAGCGUGGGGAGCAAACAGGA